CCAUUAAAGUGGCUGUGAUGUG
rnacentral:miRNA from 9 species